GUAUGAGAUUUGGUCAUGAGUUUAGAGAUUAUGAAGCCAUAUGUUUUGAUAUGAUCUGGUCUUAUGUUUUGGCACAAUUGAGUUGAGUUUAUAAGUAUGAAAAUGAUUGAUAAUGUUAUGGCAUAAAUGUUGUAUGGAUUGGUAUGGAUUUUUUCUGAGAUGAUUGUACAAUCAUGCUUGUUUCCUUGCUUGUAGGGUGAUUCAAAUUAGAGUGGC
rnacentral:lncRNA from 1 species